ACGAACACUGGCGGCGUGCUUAACACAUGCAAGUCGAACGGAAAGGCCCUGCUUGCAGGGUACUCGAGUGGCGAACGGGUGAGUAACACGUGGGUGAUCUGCCCUGCACUUCGGGAUAAGCCUGGGAAACUGGGUCUAAUACCGGAUAGGAGCCAUUUUUAGUGUGAUUGUUGGAAAGUUUUUUCGGUGUAGGAUGAGCUCGCGGCCUAUCAGCUUGUUGGUGGGGUAAUGGCCUACCAAGGCGGCGACGGGUAGCCGGCCUGAGAGGGUGGACGGCCACAUUGGGACUGAGAUACGGCCCAGACUCCUACGGGAGGCAGCAGUGGGGAAUAUUGCACAAUGGGCGCAAGCCUGAUGCAGCGACGCCGCGUGGGGGAUGACGGCCUUCGGGUUGUAAACUCCUUUCGCUAGGGACGAAGCUUUUUGUGACGGUACCUAGAUAAGAAGCACCGGCUAACUACGUG
rnacentral:rRNA from 1 species